rnacentral:rRNA from 1 species
GUGACCCCAAGUUAGGCGAGGCCACCCGUUGAGUUUAA